UCUAAGCUGGCGGGCCUCUCUCCCGCGAAAAUUUAAUUAACAACUAAACGUCUAAUCCAGCGGACUUCAACUUA
rnacentral:tRNA from 1 species